UAAGGAGAUAAAAACACUGUCCUGUUGGUAGUCAGGACCUAUUAUUAUAAUAGCAGUAACCUGCCCUCCUGGGUUGUCCGUUCUCUAUAUAUUUU
rnacentral:ncRNA from 1 species